CCCCAAUGUAUAGGGGAAAUUUACCAGAUGGUACCAAGGAUGAGAGAUAACAAUAAUGUGGAGAAUUUAGGAUAGAUUUUCUUGGUGCAGGUUGAGGCUUAGGAGCUGGAUUUCAAAUCAUCCCAGGAGGGAGAGUGGCUAAAUUCAAAGGUCUGCUAGUGAUGUGAACAGGGCCUCUAUCAGACUGUUCUCUCCUUAACAAACACACCUUCAGUGAAGCUGCAAGCUGAGGAGAGGGCCAGAAAAUCAUGACUACUAGCAAACUCAUUGUCUUUCUGUUCAGCAAGAAGGGACACUAAACUGCUGAAGACACAGGUGCAGGAUCAAUCAGAAAAACUGACUUCUGUGAAACUAAUAAGGUUCACGUACCUGCUCCAUUUGCAUUUCAGUGGAGUUCAGGGUCUCCUCAGGUGACAGUGUUCAACUCCUCUGAUCUGAUCUGUAUUUAUUUUUUAAAAUUAUUGAGUCCUUCGUAUAACUGGCAGGAUCCAUGUUUUUGCCCACCCGUAAUUGCCCUUGAAGGAGUGGUGAUAAGCCAUCAUCUGCUGCAGUCUGUGUAGUAAAAGCACACCCGUACUGCUGAGGGGAGGGAAUUCCAACAUUUUGAUCUAGCAACAGUAAAGGAAAAGGAUUUUUUUUUAAGCCAAGACAAUGUGAGACAUGAAGGAGAACUUGCAGGCAGUGAGGUUCCCACAUGUCUGCUGCCCUUGCCUUUCUAGGUGGUAGAGUUUCCACAUUUGCAAGGAAUUGUCAGCGAGCCUUGGUGGCUUUCUGCAGUGCAUCUUUUGAUAGUAUACACUGCUGCCAUUUCCAUUAGCGACGGAAGGCGUGAACAUUGAAGGUUGAUGGGGUACAUGGAACCUGAAUAUUUUCAAGUUAUUUGAGUGUGUUUGGAGCUGUACUAAAACAAGUGGAAUGUAUUCCAUCACGCUGUAAACUUGUGCCUUGGACAUGCUUUGGGGAGUCAGGAGCUAAGUUAUUCGCGAGAGGAUUUCUAUCCUCUGACUUGCUCUUGUAGCCUCAGUAUUUACAGCGCUAGUCCUGUUCAGUUUUUAUGUAGAUGAGGGACAGUACCAUUUGCAGAAUUGGAUUGAGGUGACACUGGUGGGGUGCAGGGAGACAUUGAGUGGAUAAAAGCAGUUGGCAGAGUCCUGUGUGUAUUAUGCAGAUAGGUUAAAGAUGAAAAUAUGAAAAGAUUGAAUCUUUUCACACCCUGAAAAGAAGCACCUUAUUUGGUUUGUGGUGGAAAGACGGUUUUAUGAACCUCUUAUGAUUAAGAAAACUAACUUUGACAUGCAGGCCAUGGAUUAAUCAAGCUGCUCAUACCAAAGUGCCUAAUUCAACAGUGUCUAUCUCCAUAGUAACUUAACACUGUAUUCCAGAACCAAGAAAGCCGUAAUGAUAAAUUAUUCCAUGGAAAAGGAUUAAACUGCAGCCAUAACAAUGCAUUCUGAAAAGUUGCCUUCAGCUUUUUGAUGAACAUGGAGAUGAGUGUGCAGAACCACAGUAUGUGUCUGUUUUUA